CCAACCCUCAGGCUCUGCCUGGUGCUGGAGACCUGCGUAACCGCAGUCUCCCAAAGCCAGCGGCGGACGUGCCGCGGCCCCGGGCGUAGUAUGCCUUGCGCUCGCCCCGGGUGCCCGGCGCGUCUCCUGCCGUAAAACACCCCCUAUAGUAC
rnacentral:misc_RNA from 1 species